rfam:Salmo salar isolate Sally breed double haploid chromosome ssa12, whole genome shotgun sequence.
UGCAUUCACUAUUGUAAGUCGCUCUGGAUAAGAGCGUCAGCUAAAUGACUAAAA